rnacentral:rRNA from 1 species
UGGGGAAUAUUGCACAAUGGGCGCAAGCCUGAUGCAGCCAUGCCGCGUGUAUGAAGAAGGCCUUCGGGUUGUAAAGUACUUUCAGCGGGGAGGAAGGCGAUAAGGUUAAUAACCUUGUCGAUUGACGUUACCCGCAGAAGAAGCACCGGCUAACUCCGUGCCAGCAGCCGCGGUAAUACGGAGGGUGCAAGCGUUAAUCGGAAUUACUGGGCGUAAAGCGCACGCAGGCGGUCUGUCAAGUCGGAUGUGAAAUCCCCGGGCUCAACCUGGGAACUGCAUUCGAAACUGGCAGGCUAGAGUCUUGUAGAGGGGGGUAGAAUUCCAGGUGUAGCGGUGAAAUGCGUAGAGAUCUGGAGGAAUACCGGUGGCGAAGGCUGCACCCUGGACAAAGACUGACGCUCAGGUGCGAAAGCGUGGGGAGCAAACA